AUUGGAUAAAUUGUCUACCAAUGCUCAAAGUGAGAAGCUGAUACAAAACUUCCUGAGACAGUUCUGCACUAAAUUGGAAAUGUUACAUCCCCAGGCCCAGAUAUGUCUCUGAUCCAAGAGGGGUGCUCAGAGGAGAGAAGGAAGCUAAAUGAGAUUUAGUGUCUAUCUGUAUUCGCAGAUGCUGGAGCAUGUCCAGAGAAGGGCARUGCAGCUGGUGGAAGGGUCUGGAGCAUCAGUCUUAGGAGGAGCACCUGUGGAUAACGAUUGAAGGUGCAUAAGAGGAGGCUCRAGGGAGACCUUAUYACCCAACCACCUGAAAGGAGGUUGUARCCAGGUGGRWGUUGGUCUUUUCUCUCAAGUAACAAGCAAUAAGAUGAGAUCAAACAGCCUCAAGUUGU